CCUACGGGUGGCAGCAGUGAGGAAUAUUGGUCAAUGGACGAAAGUCUGAACCAGCCAAGUAGCGUGAAGGAUGACUGCCCUAUGGGUUGUAAACUUCUUUUAUAUGGGAAUAAAACGUUCCACGUGUGGGAUUUUGUAUGUACCAUAUGAAUAAGGAUCGGCUAACUCCGUGCCAGCAGCCGCGGUAAUACGGAGGAUUCGAGCGUUAUCCGGAUUUAUUGGGUUUAAAGGGUGCGUAGGUGGAUUGUUAAGUCAGUUGUGAAAGGUUGCGGCUCAACCGUAAAAUUGCAUUUGAAACUGGCAGUCUUGAGUACAGGAGAGGUAGGCGGAAUGCGUGGUGUAGCGGUGAAAUGCUUAGAGAUCACGAAGAACUCCGAUUGCGAAGGCAGUUCACUGGACUGCAACUGACGCUGAGGCACGAAAGUGUGGGUAUCAAACAGGAUUAGAUACCCUGGUAGUC
rnacentral:rRNA from 1 species